AUUGAACGCUGGCGGCAGGCCUAACACAUGCAAGUCGAACGAGUGGCGGACGGGUGAGUAAUGUCUGGGAAACUGCCUGACGGAGGGGGAUAACUACUGGAACCUGUAGCUAAUACCGCACACAUUCGGAUGUGCCCAGAUGGGAUUAGCUAGUAGGUGGGGUAAAGGCUCACCUAGGCGACGAUCCCUAGCUGGUCUGAGAGGAUGACCCGCCACACUGGAACUGGGACACGGUCCAGACUCCUACGGGAGGCAGCAGUGGGGAAUAUUGCGCAAUGGGCGAAAGCCUGAUGCAGCCAUGCCGCGUGUAUGAAGAAGGCCUUCGGGUUGUAAAGGACUUUCAGCGGGGAGGCGUUACCCGCAGAAGAAGCACCGGCUAACUCCGUGCCAGCAGCCGCGGUAAUAC
rnacentral:rRNA from 1 species